CAUGGGUGAACUGUGGAUUUCAAAGGAGGAGAAACAAAACAAAGCAAAAGAAAUUACCCAGAGAUUUGACUACUGAGCCUGAGGAAAUCUCCUGGCUUUUCCCCACAAUAACUGCUCCAAAGUGGGGACAUUUUCAGAGAUUACCAGUUUGCUGAAUACCAUUUCCCCCCCCCCCCCGUGUUCAAUCUGAAGUACUUUUCCUUUCCACAGCCUAUAAAAGAAGACUAAUCCACAAACUGAAAGGCAAAGCCUCCACUCUUCCCUCUGCUGAGUCUUGGUGCAGGGAGCAAUAUUCAGCAAGAAGCAAUUGCACUGUAACUGCUGCCUAAGGGCUGAUCCCUACAGGAUGAGAACUCAGCGAGUGAUAAAUUUCCAAAUGACCUCUGUCAGCUCCUAAAGAGAAAAAGCAAAGACAACAGCAGCCCCUCCACAAAGAAGCUGACUCAUCAUCCUUUGUACAUUCCAAGAGAUAUUCCAAUUUUGUGGAAUUCCAGAUUUCUGCCUGGCAGAGUGGCUUUUCCUGGGACAGCUCAGCUGAUCGGAGCAUUCUGAUCCCUUCACGUGUGGUGUGAUGGCUGGGCUCAGGCUGGCUUUAAGAGCAGGUAAGUAAAACUAAUUUAAAUUCGGGUCUUUCAUUUCCUGUCCCACUCAAUUAAUUCUCUUGAGCCACAAAAACCUCUCAGGAACCAGUCUCUGGCCUUACUACUUGCUGACUUUGUGCUCGGGACAAAAUC
rnacentral:lncRNA from 1 species